rnacentral:rRNA from 1 species
GACGAACGCUGGCGGCGUGCUUAACACAUGCAAGUCGAGCGGAGCGGCGAACGGGUGAGUAACGCGAGAGUAACUGACCCCCUCUCUGGGAUAACAGUUGGAAACGGAUGAUAAUACCGGAUAGUGGGGGAUGACUCGCGUCCUAGCAGCGUGUUGGUGGGGUAGGGGCCUACCAAUCCGAAGAAGGGUAGCCGGCCUGAGAGGGCGACCGGCCACAGUGGGCUGAGAUACGGCCCAAACUCCGACGGGAGGCAGCAGUGGGGAAUAUUGCACAAUGGGGGAAACCCUGAUGCAGCAACGCGCGUGUGGGAUGACGGCCUUCGGGUUGUAAACCGCUUUCAGCCAUGACGCGGUAGUGGCAGAAGAAGCACCGGCUAACGACGUGCCAGCAGCCGCGGUAAUAC